rnacentral:rRNA from 1 species
UACGAAGGGAGCUAGCGUUGUUCGGAAUCACUGGGCGUAAAGCGCACGUAGGCGGAUGUGUCAGUCAGGGGUGAAAUCCCGGAGCUCAACUUCGGAACUGCCUUUGAUACAGCACGUCUUGAGUCCGAUAGAGGUGGGUGGAAUUCCUAGUGUAGAGGUGAAAUUCGUAGAUAUUGGUAAGAACACCGGUGGCGAAGGCGGCUAUCUGGCCCGUAAUUGACGCUGAGACGCGUAAGCGUGGGGAGCGAACAGG